rfam:Oryza sativa Japonica Group DNA, chromosome 6, cultivar: Nipponbare, complete sequence.
AAAGACUUAAUUCUUUGGUUUCCGUGUCCAACGUUUGACCGUCCGUCUUAUAUGAAUUUUUUUAUGACUAGCAUUUUCAUUAUUGAUAGAUGAUAAAACAUGAAUAAUACUUUAUACAUGACUUAUCUUUUUAAUUUUUUUAUAUUUUUUUAAAAUAAGACGGACGGAGAAACGUUAGACACAGAAAUCUAGGAAUUGAUUUUUU